rnacentral:rRNA from 1 species
GAUGAACGCUGGCGGCGUGCUUAACACAUGCAAGUCGAACGAAACACCUUAUUUGAUUUUCUUCGGAACUGAAGAUUUGGUGAUUGAGUGGCGGACGGGUGAGUAACGCGUGGGUAACCUGCCCUGUACAGGGGGAUAACAGUCAGAAAUGACUGCUAAUACCGCAUAAGACCACAGCACCGCAUGGUGCAGGGGUAAAAACUCCGGUGGUACAGGAUGGACCCGCGUCUGAUUAGCUGGUUGGUGAGGUAACGGCUCACCAAGGCGACGAUCAGUAGCCGGCUUGAGAGAGUGAACGGCCACAUUGGGACUGAGACACGGCCCAAACUCCUACGGGAGGCAGCAGUGGGGAAUAUUGCACAAUGGGGGAAACCCUGAUGCAGCGACGCCGCGUGAGUGAAGAAGUAUCUCGGUAUGUAAAGCUCUAUCAGCAGGGAAGAAAAUGACGGUACCUGACUAAGAAGCCCCGGCUA